rnacentral:rRNA from 1 species
UACGGAGGGUGCAAGCGUUAAUCGGAAUUACUGGGCGUAAAGCGCGCGUAGGUGGUUUGAUAAGCGAGAUGUGAAAGCCCCCGGGGCUUAACCUCGGGGAACGGCAUUUCGAACUGUCAGGCUAGAGUAUGGGUAGAGGAGUGUGGAAUUUCCUGUGUAGC